rnacentral:sRNA from 1 species
GGCUGGGCCCAUGGCACUAGGUGAUCAGAACUUACUAACAUUACUGUCACUAAAUUUGGUAUACACUCCCCCACUGCUAAUGAGACUGGCUUUAA